rnacentral:rRNA from 1 species
GUCGAACGGUAACAGGCCGUUGUGAUCCCUUCGGGGUGAACUUGGCGCUGACGAGUGGCAGACGGGUGAGUAACGCACAGGAAUUUGCCCGGUAGUGGGGGAUAGCUCGGAGAAACUCGAAUUAAUACCGCAUACCCUCUACGGAGGAAAGCCGGGGACCUUUUCGGAGGCCCGGCGCUACCGGAUAAGCCUGUGUCUGAUUAGCUUGUUGGUGAGGUAACGGCUCACCAAGGCGACGAUCAGUAGCUGGUCUGAGAGGACGAUCAGCCACACUGGGACUGAGACACGGCCCAGACUCCUACGGGAGGCAGCAGUGAGGAAUAUUGGACAAUGGGCGCAAGCCUGAUCCAGCAAUGCCGCGUGUGUGAAGAAGGCCUGCGGGUUGUAAAGCACUUUCAGCAAGGGAAGAAAAGCCGCGCGCGAAUACCGCGCGGCCCUGACAUGCCCUGCAGAAGAAGCACCGGCUAAUUCCGUGCCAGCAGCCGCGGUAAUACGGAAGGUGCAAGCGUUAAUCGGAAUUACUGGGCGUAAAGCGCACGUAGGCGGUUUGAUUAGUCGGAUGUGAAAUCCCCGGGCUUAACCUGGGAACUGCGUUCGAUACUGUCAGACUGGAGUGCAGUAGAGGGAAGCGGAAUUCCGGGAGUAGCGGUGAAAUGCGUAGAUAUCCGGAGGAACAUCAGUGGCGAAGGCGGCUUCCUGGUCUGUUACUGACGCUGAGGUGCGAAAGCAUGGGGAGCAAACAGGAUUAGAUACCCUGGUAGUCCAUGCCGUAAACGAUGUCAACUAGCUGUUUGAGGUGCUCUAAGCCUUGAGUAGCGCA